rnacentral:rRNA from 1 species
GAUGAACGCUGGCGGCGUGCCUAAUACAUGCAAGUCGAGCGAACGGACGAGAAGCUUGUUUCUCUGAUGUUAGCGGCGGACGGGUGAGUAACACGUGGAUAACCUACCUAUAAGACUGGGAUAACUUCGGGAAACCGGAGCUAAUACCGGAUAAUAUUUUGAACCGCAUGGUUCAAAAGUGAAAGACGGUCUUGCUGUCACUUAUAGAUGGAUCCGCGCUGCAUUAGCUAGUUGGCAAGGUAACGGCUUACCAAGGCAACGAUGCAUAGCCGACCUGAGAGGGUGAUCGGCCACACUGGAACUGAGACACGGUCCAGACUCCUACGGGAGGCAGCAGUAGGGAAUCUUCCGCAAUGGGCGAAAGCCUGACGGAGCAACGCCGCGUGAGUGAUGAAGGUCUUCGGAUCGUAAAACUCUGUUAUUAGGGAAGAACAUAUGUGUAAGUAACUGUGCACAUCUUGACGGUACCUAAUCAGAAAGCCACGGCUAACUACGUG